rnacentral:rRNA from 1 species
CAAGUCGAACGGCAGCACGGGUUUCGGCCUGGUGGCGAGUGGCGAACGGGUGAGUAACACAUCGGAACGUACCCUGUAGAGGGGGAUAGCUCGGCGAAAGCCGGAUUAAUACCGCAUAAGCUCGGAAGAGGAAAGCUGGGGACCUGAAAGGGCCUGGCGUUAUGGGAGCGGCCGAUGUCGGAUUAGCUAGUUGGUAGGGUAAAGGCUUACCAAGGCGACGAUCCGUAGCUGGUCUGAGAGGACGACCAGCCACACUGGGACUGAGAGACGGCCCAGACUCCUACGGGAGGCAGCAGUGGGGAAUUUUGGACAAUGGGGGCAACCCUGAUCCAGCAAUGCCGCGUGUGCGAAGAAGGCCUUCGGGUUGUAAAGCACUUUUGUCCGGGAAGAAAGGCCUAGGGUGAAUAGCUUUGGGAGAUGACGGUACUGGAAGAAUAAGCACCGGCUAACUACGUGCCAGCAGCCGCGGUAAUACGUAGGGUGCGAGCGUUAAUCGGAAUGACUGGGCGUAAAGGGUGCGUAGGCGGUUUGCUAAGACGGAUGUGAAAUCCCUGGGCUCAACCUAGGAACAGCAUACGUGACUGGCAGGCUAGAGUAUCGAAGAGGGGGGUAGAAUUCCACGUGUAGCAGUGAAAUGCGUAGAGAUGUGGAGGAAUACCGAUGGCGAAGGCAGCCCCCUGGUCAGAUACUGACGCUGAGGCACGAAAGCGUGGGGAGCAAACAGGAUUAGAUACCCUGGUAGUCCAUGCCCUAAACGAUGUCAACUAGUUGUUGGGGAUAGCUAUCCUCAGUAACGUAGCUAACGCGAGAAGUUGACCGCCUGGGGAGUACGGUCGCAAGAUUAAAACUC